rnacentral:rRNA from 1 species
CCCGCUGAACUUAAGCAUAUCAAUAAGCGGAGGAAAAGAAACUAACAAGGAUUCCCCUAGUAACUGCGAGUGAAGCGGGAAGAGCUCAAAUUUUGAAUCUGGCGGUGUUUGGCCGUCCGAGUUGUAAUCUAGAGAAGCGUCUUCCGCGCUGGACCGUGUACAAGUCUCCUGGAAGGGAGCGUCAUAGAGGGUGAGAAUCCCGUCUUUGACACGGACUACCAGUGCUAUGUGAUGCGCUCUCGACGAGUCGAGUUGUUUGGGAAUGCAGCUCAAAAUGGGUGGUAAAUUCCAUCUAAAGCUAAAUACAGGCGAGAGACCGAUAGCGAACAAGUACCGUGAGGGAAAGAUGAAAAGAACUUUGGAAAGAGAGUUAAACAGUAUGUGAAAUUGCUGAAAGGGAAACGCUUGAUGUCAGUCACGUUGGCUAGGGAUCAACCUUGCUUCUCGCUGGGUGUAUUUCCUGAUCGACGGGUCAACAUCAGUUUUGACCGUUGGAUAAAGGUCGAGGGAAUGUGGCACCUUCGGGUGUGUUAUAGCCCUUGAUUGUAUACAGCGGUUGGGACUGAGGAACUCAGCACGCCGAAAGGCCGGGUCUUUGUACCACGUUCGUGCUUAGGAUGUUGGCAUAAUGGCUUUAAUCGACCCGUCUUGAAACACGG